rnacentral:lncRNA from 1 species
GAAAAACUGAAGCUACAAAAUGGCCUGGUUUCUCACUUCAGUUAAAUUUGUGCUUCUGAGUGCUUGUAUUGUAGGUGAAACCGCACUGAGAAGGUAUUUGUGGCCCGUACGCUGGUUCAUUGAUGAGACUUCUUUGCACAGGAGAGCCGCUAAAAAUUACUGUGGUGAACAGACGGAGGCCCAUUGAGGCUUCUCUGUCCUCCACGGGGACCAGCAUUGGGCUAAACCUGCAGACACCAUUGCAAAGGGAAUUCAGGCAAACCCGGUGGUGAAGAAUGAUUCCAGCGCGAGGACAGAGGCUGACAUUUCUUGCCUGGGUGAUUUAAUGUUGCGCAUCAAUUUUUCACUCCCCCCGUAAGAGUAUGACAUAGCCACAACCUUGCCAGGGCCCGAGGGAGGGUGGAUGGACUUAUCCAUCCCAUAGGUGUUGCUCGUGGCUGGGUGACUUGCUUCUGCCAAUGAGAUUUUCACAGACACGGUACAAGCAGAAGCCUGGAAUCUGUGGGCACUGCCAGGCCUGCCCUCUAAGGCUCUUGAUUUUCCCCACGAGAUGUGCGUGCUCCAGGGAACGGCGGCUCUGGCUGUGGGAUGAGAGGCGUGUGGAGCAGGCAUGGUUCCCAUCCUUAGCCUGGAGUCAAGGCCAGACUAGAUCAGCCUAAGCCCAGCCAUGCCACAGGUGCAGUAGUGAAGAGCAAAUGCUAACUGUCCAUGGAAUUGACUUUCAAAGGGGCGUGUCAUGUGCCUCAUCCCAGCAACAGGGAAGGCAUUUCUCUAUCAGUCAGUUGGUAAAUGAUUAUUGACAAACAAUGUGCUGGGAAGGUGGAGUGAUUUGAGUAGAU